rnacentral:rRNA from 1 species
GAUGAACGCUGGCGGCGUGCCUAAUACAUGCAAGUCGAGCGAACAGACGAGGAGCUUGCUCCUCUGACGUUAGCGGCGGACGGGUGAGUAACACGUGGAUAACCUACCUAUAAGACUGGGAUAACUUCGGGAAACCGGAGCUAAUACCGGAUAAUAUAUUGAACCGCAUGGUUCAAUAGUGAAAGACGGUUUUGCUGUCACUUAUAGAUGGAUCCGCGCCGCAUUAGCUAGUUGGUAAGGUAACGGCUUACCAAGGCAACGAUGCGUAGCCGACCUGGGGGGGGGUACGCCCCCGUGGAAGCUGGGCCCCGGCCAGGACCCUUAGGGAGGGCACAGAAGGGAAACUUUCCCAACGGGGGGAAGUCUUGCAGAAGCAACGCCGGCUGGGUGAGGAAGGCCUUCGUUUGGUAAAACGUUUUUUUGGGGGAAAAACAAUUUGGUAGGUAACGAGGCCGGUUUGACGGGAACCGAUAAAGAAGCCCCGGCUAACUACGUG